CAGUGGUUGAGUAACUGUGUGGGGAAAAUGAACUACACAACCUUCUUUAAGGCUUAGUUGAAUUGAAUCACAGUAUUAGUGGAGCAUCCUUCUGCGAAACAUGGCUUGCAACGAUUUGAGCCAAAAUAUCCCUCAUUCUUUACCAACCAUGAAGAAACUGAGACAUCUGUGUUGAGGGAUGAAAAUGGAGUGGGGAAGAGGCAUUAGUCCUUGGAGAUGUGAUCAGCAUCAAGUUGGGAGACAUUGUGCCUGAUGAUGCCUGUCUCUCGGAGGGAGAUCCUCUUAAGAUUUACCAUUCUUCACUAAUGGUGAGUCCUUGCGUGUCACAAGAUUGAGUACUCUUCAUUUGAUUUGCGGUAGAAGAGAAUUUGUCAAAUCUGAAUUUGUUCAUUUUGACACUAAAAAUCUGUUUGUGUGGUGUUUUCUAACUGCUAUUACCUUCACUUCGUAGCUUGUCUUUUUUCAUGACUUGUUUUGUUUUGGGUUAUCAAGU